rnacentral:misc_RNA from 1 species
AUUUUGAACCUGUUUGAUAAUAAGUUCAAUGGGCCAAUCCCAGAAUUCUAUGGGCAGUGUUAUUCACUAUCAUAUGUGCGUAUCUAUAACAAUCAAUUCUCUGGUGAAUUACCAACUGGUUUCUGGGGAUUUGAUGGAUACACAUUUCUUGAACUGCGAAACAACAACUUUCAAGGUUCAAUUCCAGCUUCAAUCUCCAAUGCUCGAGGCCUGACACAAAUUCUCAUCUCUGGCAACAACUUCUCCGGAGAAUUGCCAGCAGAAAUAUGCAAUUUGGAAGAGGUUGUGUUCAUGGACAUUAGCAAGAAUCAAUUAUCAGGGCAGUUGCCUUCGUGUAUCACAAGAUUGAAAAAGUUACAAAAGCUUGAUCUUUCAAAAAAUAGGAUCAGGGGUCAAAUUCCCAAAUCAGUUAGUUCUUGGAAUGAAUUGACUGAGUUGAGUUUAGCUGACAAUCAACUGACCGGUGAAAUUCCUGGUGAGCUUGGGAUGUUACCGGUCUUAACAUACUUAGACCUCGCCUCAAACUUGCUUUCUGGUGAAAUUCCAUCCGAGCUGAGCAAGCUCAAGCUCAACAAAUUCAAUGUAUCGAAUAACAGGCUGGAAGGGAAAG